UUUGAUCCUGGCUCAGGAUGAACGCUAGCGGGAGGCCUAACACAUGCAAGCCGAGCGGUAUUUGUUCUUCGGAACAGAGAGAGCGGCGCACGGGUGCGGAACACGUGUGCAACCUGCCUUUAUCUGGGGGAUAGCCUUUCGAAAGGAAGAUUAAUACCCCAUAAUAUAUUGAGUGGCAUCACUUGAUAUUGAAAACUCCGGUGGAUAGAGAUGGGCACGCGCAAGAUUAGAUAGUUGGUGAGGUAACGGCUCACCAAGUCAAUGAUCUUUAGGGGGCCUGAGAGGGUGAUCCCCCACACUGGUACUGAGACACGGACCAGACUCCUACGGGAGGCAGCAGUGAGGAAUAUUGGACAAUGGGUUAGCGCCUGAUCCAGCCAUCCCGCGUGAAGGACGACGGCCCUAUGGGUUGUAAACUUCUUUUGUAUAGGGAUAAACCUACUCUCGUGAGAGUAGCUGAAGGUACUAUACGAAUAAGCACCGGCUAACUCCGUGCCAGCAGCCGCGGUAAU
rnacentral:rRNA from 1 species